rnacentral:rRNA from 1 species
GGUUAAGCGACUAAGCGUACACGGUGGAUGCCCUGGCAGUCAGAGGCGAUGAAGGACGUGCUAAUCUGCGAUAAGCGUCGGUAAGGUGAUAUGAACCGUUAUAACCGGCGAUUUCCGAAUGGGGAAACCCAGUGUGUUUCGACACACUAUCAUUAACUGAAUCCAUAGGUUAAUGAGGCGAACCGGGGGAACUGAAACAUCUAAGUACCCCGAGGAAAAGAAAUCAACCGAGAUUCCCCCAGUAGCGGCGAGCGAACGGGGAGCAGCCCAGAGCCUGAAUCAGUGUGUGUGUUAGUGGAAGCGUCUGGAAAGGCGCGCGAUACAGGGUGACAGCCCCGUACACAAAAAUGCACAUGCUGUGAGCUCGAUGAGUAGGGCGGGACACGUGGUAUCCUGUCUGAAUAUGGGGGGACCAUCCUCCAAGGCUAAAUACUCCUGACUGACCGAUAGUGAACCAGUACCGUGAGGGAAAGGCGAAAAGAACCCCGGCGAGGGGAGUGAAAAAGAACCUGAAACCGUGUACGUACAAGCAGUGGGAGCACGCUUAGGCGUGUGACUGCGUACCUUUUGUAUAAUGGGUCAGCGACUUAUAUUCUGUAGCAAGGUUAACCGAAUAGGGGAGCCGAAGGGAAACCGAGUCUUAACUGGGCGUUAAGUUGCAGGGUAUAGACCCGAAACCCGGUGAUCUAGCCAUGGGCAGGUUGAAGGUUGGGUAACACUAACUGGAGGACCGAACCGACUAAUGUUGAAAAAUUAGCGGAUGACUUGUGGCUGGGGGUGAAAGGCCAAUCAAACCGGGAGAUAGCUGGUUCUCCCCGAAAGCUAUUUAGGUAGCGCCUCGUGAAUUCAUCUCCGGGGGUAGAGCACUGUUUCGGCAAGGGGGUCAUCCCGACUUACCAACCCGAUGCAAACUGCGAAUACCGGAGAAUGUUAUCACGGGAGACACACGGCGGGUGCUAACGUCCGUCGUGAAGAGGGAAACAACCCAGACCGCCAGCUAAGGUCCCAAAGUCAUGGUUAAGUGGGAAACGAUGUGGGAAGGCCCAGACAGCCAGGAUGUUGGCUUAGAAGCAGCCAUCAUUUAAAGAAAGCGUAAUAGCUCACUGGUCGAGUCGGCCUGCGCGGAAGAUGUAACGGGGCUAAACCAUGCACCGAAGCUGCGGCAGCGACGCUUAUGCGUUGUUGGGUAGGGGAGCGUUCUGUAAGCCUGCGAAGGUGUGCUGUGAGGCAUGCUGGAGGUAUCAGAAGUGCGAAUGCUGACAUAAGUAACGAUAAAGCGGGUGAAAAGCCCGCUCGCCGGAAGACCAAGGGUUCCUGUCCAACGUUAAUCGGGGCAGGGUGAGUCGACCCCUAAGGCGAGGCCGAAAGGCGUAGUCGAUGGGAAACAGGUUAAUAUUCCUGUACUUGGUGUUACUGCGAAGGGGGGACGGAGAAGGCUAUGUUGGCCGGGCGACGGUUGUCCCGGUUUAAGCGUGUAGGCUGGUUUUCCAGGCAAAUCCGGAAAAUCAAGGCUGAGGCGUGAUGACGAGGCACUACGGUGCUGAAGCAACAAAUGCCCUGCUUCCAGGAAAAGCCUCUAAGCAUCAGGUAACAUCAAAUCGUACCCCAAACCGACACAGGUGGUCAGGUAGAGAAUACCAAGGCGCUUGAGAGAACUCGGGUGAAGGAACUAGGCAAAAUGGUGCCGUAACUUCGGGAGAAGGCACGCUGAUACGUAGGUGAAGUCCCUCGCGGAUGGAGCUGAAAUCAGUCGAAGAUACCAGCUGGCUGCAACUGUUUAUUAAAAACACAGCACUGUGCAAACACGAAAGUGGACGUAUACGGUGUGACGCCUGCCCGGUGCCGGAAGGUUAAUUGAUGGGGUCAGCGCAAGCGAAGCUCUUGAUCGAAGCCCCGGUAAACGGCGGCCGUAACUAUAACGGUCCUAAGGUAGCGAAAUUCCUUGUCGGGUAAGUUCCGACCUGCACGAAUGGCGUAAUGAUGGCCAGGCUGUCUCCACCCGAGACUCAGUGAAAUUGAACUCGCUGUGAAGAUGCAGUGUACCCGCGGCAAGACGGAAAGACCCCGUGAACCUUUACUAUAGCUUGACACUGAACAUUGAGCCUUGAUGUGUAGGAUAGGUGGGAGGCUUUGAAGUGUGGACGCCAGUCUGCAUGGAGCCGACCUUGAAAUACCACCCUUUAAUGUUUGAUGUUCUAACGUUGACCCGUGAUCCGGGUUGCGGACAGUGUCUGGUGGGUAGUUUGACUGGGGCGGUCUCCUCCUAAAGAGUAACGGAGGAGCACGAAGGUUGGCUAAUCCUGGUCGGACAUCAGGAGGUUAGUGCAAUGGCAUAAGCCAGCUUGACUGCGAGCGUGACGGCGCGAGCAGGUGCGAAAGCAGGUCAUAGUGAUCCGGUGGUUCUGAAUGGAAGGGCCAUCGCUCAACGGAUAAAAGGUACUCCGGGGAUAACAGGCUGAUACCGCCCAAGAGUUCAUAUCGACGGCGGUGUUUGGCACCUCGAUGUCGGCUCAUCACAUCCUGGGGCUGAAGUAGGUCCCAAGGGUAUGGCUGUUCGCCAUUUAAAGUGGUACGCGAGCUGGGUUUAGAACGUCGUGAGACAGUUCGGUCCCUAUCUGCCGUGGGCGCUGGAGAACUGAGGGGGGCUGCUCCUAGUACGAGAGGACCGGAGUGGACGCAUCACUGGUGUUCGGGUUGUCAUGCCAAUGGCACUGCCCGGUAGCUAAAUGCGGAAGAGAUAAGUGCUGAAAGCAUCUAAGCACGAAACUUGCCCCGAGAUGAGUUCUCCCUGACCCUUUAAGGGUCCUGAAGGAACGUUGAAGACGACGACGUUGAUAGGCCGGGUGUGUAAGCGCAGCGAUGCGUUGAGCUAACCGGUACUAAUGAACCGUGAGGCUUAACCUU